GGGGAUCACUUGUGACCUUGCGUUAAUAGAUGAGCCUAAGUCGGAUUAGCUAGUUGGUGGGGUAAAGGCCUACCAAGGCGACGAUCUGUAGCGGGUCUGAAAGGAUGAUCCGCCACACUGGGACUGAGACACGGCCCAGACUCCCACGGGAGGCAGCAGUGGGGAAUAUUGGACAAUGGGGGGAACCCUGAUCCAGCCAUGCCGCGUGUGUGAAGAAGGCCUUAUGGUUGUAAAGCACUUUAAGCGAGGAGGAGGCUCUUUUGGUUAAUACCCAAGAUGAGUGGACGUUACUCGCAGAAUAAGCACCGGCUAACUCUGUGCCAGCAGCCGCGGUAAUACAGAGGGUACGAGCGUUAAUCGGAUUUACUGGGCGUAAAGCGUGCGUAGGCGGCUUUUUAAGUCGGAUGUGAAAUCCCCGAGCUUAACUUGGGAAUUGCAUUCGAUACUGGGAAGCUAGAGUAUGGGAGAGGAUGGUAGAAUUCCAGGUGUAGCGGUGAAAUGCGUAGAGAUCUGGAGGAAUACCGAUGGCGAAGGCAGCCAUCUGGCCUAAUACUGACGCUGAGGUACGAAAGCAUGGGGAGCAAACAGGAUUAGAUACCCUGGUAGUCCAUGCCGUAAACGAUGUCUACUAGCCGUUGGGGUCUUUGAGACUUUAGUGGCGCAGCUAACGCGAUAAGUAGACCGC
rnacentral:rRNA from 1 species